GUACACGGUGGAUGCCCUGGCAGUCAGAGGCGAUGAAGGACGUGCUAAUCUGCGAUAAGCGUCGGUAAGGUGAUAUGAACCGUUAUAACCGGCGAUUUCCGAAUGGGGAAACCCAGUGUGAUUCGUCACACUAUCAUUAACUGAAUCCAUAGGUUAAUGAGGCGAACCGGGGGAACUGAAACAUCUAAGUACCCCGAGGAAAAGAAAUCAACCGAGAUUCCCCCAGUAGCGGCGAGCGAACGGGGAGCAGCCCAGAGCCUGAAUCAGUGUGUGUGUUAGUGGAAGCGUCUGGAAAGGCGCGCGAUACAGGGUGACAGC
rnacentral:rRNA from 1 species